rnacentral:rRNA from 1 species
GAUGAACGCUGGCGGCGUGCCUAAUACACGCAAGUCGAGCGAACGGACGAGAAGCUUGCUUUUCUGAUGUUAGCGGCGGACGGGUGAGUAACACGUGGAUAACCUACCUAUAAGACUGGGAUAACUUCGGGAAACCGGAGCUAAUACCGGAUAAUAUUUUGAACCGCAUGGUUCAAAAGUGAAAGACGGUCUUGCUGUCACUUAUAGAUGGAUCCGCGCUGCAUUAGCUAGUUGGUAAGGUAACGGCUUACCAAGGCAACGAUGCAUAGCCGACCUGAGAGGGUGAUCGGCCACACUGGAACUGAGACACGGUCCAGACUCCUACGGGAGGCAGCAGUAGGGAAUCUUCCGCAAUGGGCGAAGGCCUGACGGAGCAACGCCGCGUGAGUGAUGAAGGUCUUCGGAUCGUAAAACUCUGUUAUUAGGGAAGAACAUAUGUGUAAGUAACUGUGCACAUCUUGACGGUACCUAAUCAGAAAGCCACGGCUAACUACGUG